rnacentral:rRNA from 1 species
UACGUAGGAUGCAAGCGUUGUCCGGAUUUAUUGGGUUUAAAGGGUGCGUAGGCGGCCUAUUAAGUUAGUGGUGAAAACGUUCGGCUUAACCGGAUACCCGCCAUUGAUACUGAUAGACUUGAGUGCGACAGAGGGUGUUGGAAUGUGUGGUGUAGCGGUGAGAUGCUUAGAGAUCACGCAGAACACCAAUUGCGAAGGCAGAUGCCUAUGUCGUAACUGACGCUGAGGCACGAAAGAGUGGGGAGCAAACAGG